rnacentral:tRNA from 1 species
CGGGGCAUGGUGUAACGGCAGCAUUCUGGGCUGUAGACCCGGCGGUGGGCGUCCAACUCGCUCUGCCCCGA